AACGAACGCUGGCGGCAUGCCUAACACAUGCAAGUCGAACGAGACCUUCGGGGCUAGUGGCGCACGGGUGCGUAACGCGUGGGAACCUGCCCUUAGGUUCGGAAUAACUCCCCGAAAGGGGUGCUAAUACCGGAUAAUGUCUUCGGACCAAAGAUUUAUCGCCUUUGGAUGGGCCCGCGUUGGAUUAGCUAGUUGGUAGGGUAAAAGCCUACCAAGGCGACGAUCCAUAGCUGGUCUGAGAGGAUGAUCAGCAACACUGGGACUGAGACACGGCCCAGACUCCUACGGGAGGCAGCAGUGGGGAAUAUUGGACAAUGGGCGAAAGCCUGAUCCAGCAAUGCCGCGUGAGUGAUGAAGGCCUUAGGGUUGUAAAGCUCUUUUACCCGGGAUGAUAAUGACAGUACCGGGAGAAUAAGCUCCGGCUAACUCCGUG
rnacentral:rRNA from 1 species